CCAAUAGCGUAUAUUAAAGUUGUUGCAGUUAAAAAGCUCGUAGUUGAAUUUCGAGAUCAGUACGCUGGUCGUGCCUUCGGUAUGCACUGGUGUCACUGGUUUCUCCCUUCUGAAGAACCGUCAUGCCAUUCAGUUGGUGUGGCGGGGAAUCAGGACUGUUACUUUGAAAAAAUUAGAGUGUUUAAAGCAGGCUCGCGCUUGAAUACAUUAGCAUGGAAUAAUGAAAUAGGACGUUUGACCCUAUUUUGUUGGUUUCUAGGAUCGACGUAAUGAUUAAUAGGGGUAGGUGGGGGCAUUAGUAUUCAAUUGUCAGAGGUGAAAUUCUUGGAUUUAUUGAAGACUAACUACUGCGAAAGCAUUUGCCGAGGAUGUUUUCAUUAAUCAAGAACGAAGGUUAGGGGAUCGAAGACGAUCAGAUACCGUCGUAGUCUUAACCAUAAACUAUGCCGACUAGGGAUCGGAUGAUGUUAAUUUUUUAAUGACUCAUUCGGCGCCUUACG
rnacentral:rRNA from 1 species